GUUAAGAUAUGUGUGUUUCCUAUAUCUUUUCUUGAACUGUGUGGAAAUGAGGGUCAGUUAAGAGGGUAAAAUGUCACUUGCAUGACUUGAUUAAACAUCAAUGUUCCUCCUGUAGAUUAAAGAUAGAAACCUUUUUUUCUUUAAGUUUCUGGACUUUUGGAGUGUGGUGUCUGUGAAGGUGAAGGUGGUCAAGUUUUUUAUGUCAUAGGGAAAUUGUAUUGCCAGGAAAAGAUCCUUAAAUGGAAGAUGCAAAGGCAGUGUUUUGAAAUGUGCUGCUGAAAUAUUGUAUACCGGUUGGGGGAAAAUGGAAGAAUAUGUGCAAGAAAACGGUUUCAGUAACAAUCCUGCAUGCUGAAGACCUACAUGGAUUCAUGGG
rnacentral:lncRNA from 1 species